AAAUAAUUUAACUUAAAUCCUUUGUGUAAAUUUUUAAGACAGGAGUUACUGGCUGCAGCAGAAAGCGGGAGACAACCAUUGAGCAGCUCUUACAACUUCCUUUGUGGCUGAUUGUUACUUUGUUGCAUGGUACGGGAGCAUCUGUGACCUGCUAUUUCUGGAACUGUGACAUUGUGAUCGGACAUUGUAGAAACUUUGCCCAGUCUGCUUUCUGAAGGUGGUUGGAGCAUGGAGAAAGUUGGAGCAUAGCUUAUCUGGGAAGAGAAUGAUCUGUGAAAUGGAAGGGGUAGAAGAAACCUAUCAAAGAGAAAUAAAAUUCCUGUGUGUGAAGAGAGUUCAAGAAGUUCCCUAAAUGAGUCAGUCUCCUAAAUCAAGUGAAUUUCCACCAAAAAUGUUCAGAAAAUAUACAAGUAAAAUCAUCAAGCCAUUAUCCCAAACCAAGAUGAUUUAUCGAAAAUGGGAGAGGCACCUGGCAAAAGUCCUUCAUAUAGUAAAGCAGGAAGAGAAAGUGGUCUAAAAACCAUAGUGAUACAAUCAUAUCACCAAUAUUGGGAAAGAGGCUAAGAAAUUUUAUUAAAAUGAAGAUUUUUUUCAACACCAGGUAACAUUGAUCAAUGAUACCACAGGUUGGGGGUGGGUGGCUAGUUGUUUAACAAAGAACUGCUUAGUUAGAUAAAUGCCAUUUCUUUUUUUGAUGGUUGAGUGAUGAAUGGGACUGAAGUCA